AUAAAUGCUUUGAUAAGAAAGAGUAACUAAGAUUAAUCAUGAUAAGAGAGCCUCAGCUGGUGAAAAGAGGUAUGAAAGAAUUAGUGAACAUGGUCUUUGAGCAGCGCAUCUGAAAAAAUAAGUAAGAUAAGCCGGGCACACCCGUUAACGUGUUAGAGUAUUAAAUCAUUGAUUGAUGCGUACUUGAAAAGGUGAGUUUUGUGAGAAACUCACGAAUAAAGGUGGUACCACGUGAAUAACGUCCUUUCU
rnacentral:ncRNA from 1 species